CUGCUGUGGUGAAAUCAGGUGAAUGUGUGUAUCAAUACCCGCGGCGGUCAGAAUAAGAUGCUCGCCGGAAAUAGCAUCUGUUGACACACCGGCAACCAUCCCCGGGGUAAUACCAUCCUGGAGAUUCGGGUUUCCGCUCUUACCGAUACCGACGAUUUUGCCGUCUUUUACACCAACGUCCGCUUUGAUAACACCUAAUUUGGCAUCAAGAAUCGUCACGUUAGUGAUAACCAGAUCGAGCACACCGUUAUCACUGGUCAGGGUAUUGUUUGCACCCAUUCCGUCACGC
rnacentral:sRNA from 1 species